CUCGCCGAGUCACUUGGCGACACUGGUGGGAAAUAAAUCACCAUAGCUCCCACAAGACGGCGUCAACACAGGUCCUUAUUCCGUCCACUCGGUUUUUACACGCUUUUCCUCUCAUUGUUUUUACGUUUUUGUCCAGAACAAGUCGCUGGUGGUCGUAAAUCUGUGCAGAAGCGAAGCUAACAUGCCCGGUGUUUACUCGCGCUGCUACUCGCAACAGGGAGAAAGAUUCAAAUGACGAGGAAGCAGCGGAUACAGUCAACUUCUCUGCCCUGUGAACCUGAGAUAAAAGAGUCCUGGAGAUGAUGAGCGGGACUUCUGCUGUGCAGACGGAUGAGGACUGUGUGGAGCUGGAUGAAGAUGGCUUUGUUUUCUCUCCUGACAUUUCUGAGAAGUUAACCAGAAGAAAUAGGUCAUUUGGAAAAGCGUGUCCAAAGUCUCCCUACCUUUCUAGUCUGAAUAUGAACACCAGGAGAGCAGCAGUGGCAGCCUGGAGGCUCCCGAGGGCGUCUUUAGGGGACACAAGAGGAGACCUCACUGGGGAGAUGGGCUUUAGUUGUCUGACAUCCCUCAGCAACGGCCAUGAUGUGUCACACACCCUGAGGUCAGAGUGUGAUGUUGCUCAGGAUCUUCUCAGGGACACCUGGAGGAAGAACAGGAAGCACCCCAGCAUGGCCUCGAAUGGUUUCAGUUCUGGCGCAGCGGACUACAGAGAGAAGGAGGACAUGUAUGAUGAGAUCAUUCGCCUCAAGAAGAGUCUUCACGUGCAGAAAUCUGACAACCGAAAAAUGCAAGCCAAACUCCGACGGUUGGAAGAGGACAAUGCCAAACGAGAGAAACAGCUGGAGGAACUUCUGGAUCCCACCAAAGGAUCUGAAUACACUCGCAGUUUAGUGGAUAAGAAGAAGGAGGGCAGUGUGAUUCUGAACGGACUGAAGCAGAGGAUUCUUAAACUGGAGCAGCAGUGCCGAGAGAAAGAAAACGCUCUGAGCAAGCUGCAGAGCGAGCUGAGGACGACUAAACUGGAGGAGCUGAAGAUGACUGUGAAGACCUACUUUGAGGAGAUCCAGAGACUGAAAAUCCUGCUGGAGGCAGCCGAGAAAAGCAAUCGCACUGAAAGCAAAUGUUCCCAAAGACAACAGAAAGCACUGAGCUCCACAGUUGUGCGUCUGUCGGAGAACGUGAAACAACUCCAGCAGGAGAACAUGGAACUCAGAGAGGAGCUGGACACAGCGAGUCCUGCUGAAGGGAGCAAAGGUUACAGAGAGUGGAGUAAACAGCGGGUGCUGCGGCGGCUGCUUGAAGUUGAGAAAAGACUGGCAGACGCCAGGAGACACGCCCCCUGCUCGGAGAGCAGCAGCCGAUUGGACCGGGAGGUUCAGACCUCAACCAAUGAGAACCAGGACAGGCUCGCCAUGGCAACAGAGGCAGGGGUAUCCGUGGGAACGCAGACGGAGGAAGACGAUGAGGUUGAUGUUUUGAGAGAACGUGUCAGCCAAUUGGAGGCGCAGAGGGUGGCGCUUCAGGAUCGGCUCUCAGCAAAAGAUGAGGAACUUCAGCACUUAAGAACUGAGCAUGAGGAAGUGGAGAAGGAGAGGGAGAGGUGGAAAACUGAGGAGAAGGCUAAAGAGGAACAACAUGAACUGGAGCUGGAGCGGUUACAUGGAAGGUUACGGACUCUGGAAGAGAACCAGGUGAAACUCUCCCCAACAGUCGCAUCACAAGAAGACCAGAGGGGCGCUGAGUGUAGAAGUGUGAAGGAGGACCGAGCACCAGAACCUGCAGGAGAUGAUGAGGUGCCAGGAACCAACGUGUCUGAGACCAGACAGCAGAGGGAGAGAGACAAAGCAGCAAGGGUCGUCCAGAGGAACUGGAGGAAGCACAGGACGAGGGCGGUCGUGAAGCUGCAGUCGGCCUUCAGAGGUCACCUCUGCAGAGAAUCGGCUCUCAGGCUCUUGAGAAGAGACUCACAGAGUCAGGCUGGAUCACACCACGGUGAUUCAUCUGUAGGAGGUCCGGACGUCGUUGCCUUGACGAUGAUGCAGUCGGCAUUCAGGGGACACGUUGCACGCUGCAGACUUGUGGAGAGAAUGUCAUCACCAGGAGACAGUUUACCAGCUCCGGCACUGACAAAGACUGACGCCACUCUCGGAAGAACAGUCCGAGCGGAACCAUCCUGUUCCCCAGAUGAGACGGCCGAGGCUGAGGACUCUGAUGAUUCUGAUGACAUCAUUGUGUCUCCGUCACGUCCAAUGAGUCACUGGUGUUCUAAAACAUGGAUCCAGCUCACGAAGAAGUGGGUUUGAAGGAUGAAGAGUCGAUUCCUGACAGAUGCACUGUGGAACCACACUGUGAUAAAAGUACAACUCCAUCUGCUGCAAGUGGGGAGCUACAGCGCAUCGUGACGCGGGGCGCAGGCCCACUCUCCAGCCUGCACUGUCGUGACUCCAACAUCAGGGGGCGGCCUCCGCGCAUUC